rnacentral:rRNA from 1 species
UAGGGCGUUUAGUAUUUGGUCGUAGACCCGAAACCAGGUGAUCUACCCUUGGUCAGGUUGAAGUUCAGGUAACACUGAAUGGAGGACCGAACCGACUUACGUUGAAAAGUGAGCGGAUGAACUGAGGGUAGCGGAGAAAUUCCAAUCGAACCUGGAGAUAGCUGGUUCUCUCCGAAAUAGCUUUAGGGCUAGCCUCAAGUGAUGAUUAUUGGAGGUAGAGCACUGUUUGGACGAGGGGCCCCUCUCGGGUUACCGAAUUCAGACAAACUCCGAAUGCCAAUUAAUUUAACUUGGGAGUCAGAACAUGGGUGAUAAGGUCCGUGUUCGAAAGGGAAACAGCCCAGACCACCAGCUAAGGUCCCAAAAUAUAUGUUAAGUGGAAAAGGAUGUGGCGUUGCCCAGACAACUAGGAUGUUGGCUUAGAAGCAGCCAUCAUUUAAAGAGUGCGUAAUAGCUCACUAGUCGAGUGACACUGCGCCGAAAAUGUACCGGGGCUAAACAUAUUACCGAAGCUGUGGAUUGUCCUUUGGACAAUGGUAGGAGAGCGUUCUAAGGGCGUUG